rnacentral:rRNA from 1 species
CCUACGGGUGGCAGCAGUGAGGAAUAUUGGUCAAUGGGCGAGAGCCUGAACCAGCCAAGUCGCGUGAGGGAGUACUGCCCUAUGGGUUGUAAACCUCUUUUGUCGGGGAGCAAAAGCCGGACGUGUCCGGCUGUGAGAGUACACGAAGAAAAAGCAUCGGCUAACUCCGUGCCAGCAGCCGCGGUAAUACGGAGGAUGCGAGCGUUAUCCGGAUUUAUUGGGUGUAAAGGGUGCGCAGGCGGAUUUUUAAGUCAGCGGUAAAAUCGUGGGGCUCAACCCCAUCCAGCCGUUGAAACUGGGGAUCUAGAGUGUGCGAGAGGUAUGCGGAAUGCGUGGUGUAGCGGUGAAAUGCAUAGAUAUCACGCAGAACCCCGAUUGCGAAGGCAGCAUACCGGUGCACAACUGACGCUCAGGCACGAAAGCGUGGGUAUCGAACAGGAUUAGAUACCCUUGUAGUC